UAGUUAAAUUUGUACAUUUUGUAAAUGC
rnacentral:sRNA from 1 species